CGAAGUGGCGGUCGCGGGGGUUGCAGAGGACGGCGCGGGACCGGCAGUAGCCGGAGGAUUAAGUGUUAAUAGAGUCCCAGAAUGCUUUGGUUUGGCAGGGACCUGAAAGAUCAGUUCCUUCCAACUCCCUGCAAUUGCGACUGCCUUGAUGGUUUCUGCAUGAGACGGAAAACUCCUUGGGCAGAUGCCUUUGGAAUUUCUGCUUUGCUGCUCCUCUCCAUCCCCCACCUGCUGCUGUGACACUGCUGUCCCGUGGAAAGGGCUUGAGAGGGCUGUUUCCCACCCCCAGUGAUCUCCUCAGUGAAGGAAAACAAUGAACCACGAAGUCUGAAGUUCCCGAAGCAGCAAGAGCAACGACAGCAACGGCAAAACUGCUGACCCGGAGAAACCGAAGGGAUUAAAGGAAAUUGCUGCGAAUCAAGAAGCCAAACUUUAGAAAGUGACAGCCCUGAAAGGCUAGGUGGAGCAGAAAAGACUCAUUGUUGGGAAAUUAGCGGAGGAGGCGGACCAGCUGAAGAGCCUGUUGCAGCCAAAGCAGCGCAAGCUGGUGCUGGCCGUGCUGAAAGCAGAGGAACUUCCCUGCCACCGGAGAUGCUGAGGAAGGGCCAAAUUGGUGGUUACCACGACAACCCAUGGGCUGUAGCUGAGCUCCACCCACCUCCUGCCCAAGGAGCUGCAGGUAAUGGAAAGCCAGCUUGUGACCCCCAACUCUUAAGGGCUUCAAAGACCUUUGGGUCGUUUCUGAGCUCCUUGGAAAGAAACGCCACUGCUCCUGUUCCUGCUGGACCCAUGUGGCUGCCUGCAUGCUGAGGAUGGAGGGGCGGUUGUGCCGAGUUCAAGGGAAAGGGAGGAAGGAGCACACUGUGCAUAUCCUUUUCCUUUCUGCACAUUUGGAGACUAAGCAACUCCU